GGGGCGAAAGACUAAUCGAACCAUCGAGUAGCUGGUUCCCUCCGAAGUUUCCCUCAGGAUAGCUGGAACUUAUGAGAAAGUAGUUUUAUCAGGUAAAGCGAAUGAUUAGAGGUUUUGGGGAAGAAACUUCCUCGACCUAUUCUCAAACUUUAAAUAGGUAAGAUUUGAAGGAUACUUAAGUGAUCUUUCAAUCUCUUGAAUAUAAAGUUCUUAGUGGGCCAUUUUUGGUAAGCAGAACUGGCGAUGUGGGAUGAACCGAACGUUAAGUUAAAGUGCCAAAUAAUACGCUCAUGAGAUACCAUAAAAGGUGUUGGUUCAUUUUGACAGCAGGACGGUGGCCAUGGAAGUCGGAACCCGCUAAGGAGUGUGUAACAACUCACCUGCCGAAUGAACUAGCCCUGAAAAUGGAUGGCGCUUAAGCGUACAACUUAUACUUAACCCUUACUUGAAUUAUUAUAGCGAGUAAGGAGUAGGAGGG
rnacentral:rRNA from 1 species